UACGAGAGGCCCAAACGUUAUUCGGAAUUACUGGGCUUAAAGAGUUCGUAGGCGGCAUUGCAAGUAGGGUGUGAAAGCCCUCGGCUCAACCGAGGAAUUGCGCUCUAAACUGCAGUGCUUGAGGACCUGAGAGGUGAGCAGAACAGAUGGUGGAGCGAUGAAAUGCGUUGAUAUCAUCUGGAAUACCGGAGGCGAAGGCGGCUCACUGGGAGUUUCUGACGCUGAGGAACGAAAGCCAGGGUAGCGAACGGG
rnacentral:rRNA from 1 species